UACGGAGGGGGCUAGCGUUGUUCGGAAUUACUGGGCGUAAAGCACACGUAGGCGGCUUUGUAAGUUAGAGGUGAAAGCCCGGGGCUCAACUCCGGAAUUGCCUUUAAGACUGCAUCGCUAGAAUUGUGGAGAGGUAAGUGGAAUUCCGAGUGUAGAGGUGAAAUUCGUAGAUGAUUCGGAAGAACACCAGUGGCGAAGGCGACUUACUGGACACAUAUUGA
rnacentral:rRNA from 1 species